rnacentral:misc_RNA from 1 species
GUGAAUCAUCGAAUCUUUGAACGCAAAUUGCACUCUCUUUGGAGCGUAUGCCUGUUUGAGGGUCAGUAAUAAUAAAAUCGGGGUGUUGCUCUUUUGUGACACAACGGAGUUUGGGUUACAUUUGACUUUCGGGUUUAAGAGGCUUAAAAUUGAACUUUUUUGUGUACUCUUAGACGUACAUAAAUUUAUUUUAUUGUCUCUUCUGGUCCCAUUUAUCUAUUAGGUGCGAUCAUGUUUAUAUGUUCUCGUGCC